AUUGAACGCUGGCGGCAUGCUUUACACAUGCAAGUCGAACGGUAACAGGCCUUCGGGUGCUGACGAGUGGCGAACGGGUGAGUAAUGCAUCGGAACGUACCCAGAGGUGGGGGAUAACGCAGCGAAAGCUGUGCUAAUACCGCAUGUGAUCUGAGGAUGAAAGCGGGGGACCGAGCAGCAAUGUUUGGCCUCGCGCCUUUGGAGCGGCCGAUGUCGGAUUAGCUAGUUGGUGGGGUAAAGGCCUACCAAGGCGACGAUCCGUAGCUGGUCUGAGAGGACGACCAGCCACACUGGGACUGAGACACGGCCCAGACUCCUACGGGAGGCAGCAGUGGGGAAUUUUGGACAAUGGGCGCAAGCCUGAUCCAGCAAUGCCGCGUGCUGGAAGAAGGCCUUCGGGUUGUAAACCGCUUUUGGCAGGAACGAAACGGUGUCCGCUAAUACCGGGCGCUAAUGACGGUACCUGCAGAAUAAGCACCGGCUAACUACGUG
rnacentral:rRNA from 1 species